rnacentral:rRNA from 1 species
CCUACGGGGGGCAGCAGUGGGGAAUAUUGGACAAUGGGGGAAACCCUGAUCCAGCGAUGCCGCGUGAAUGAAGACGGUCUUCGGGUUGUAAAGUUCUUUCUCACGGGACGAAAAUAGCGGUACUCUGGAAGAAAGCUCCGGCUCACUACGGGACAGCAGCCGCGGCAAUAAGUAGGGAGCAGGCGUUGUACGGAAUAAUUGGGUUUAAUGGGGGAGUAGUCUGGAGAGUAAGUUGGAGGUUAGAUCUAGGGGCUCAACCCCUAACUGCUUGGAACACUGUUCUUCUUGAGUGAAGUAGAGGCAGGCGGAAUUCCUGGUGUAGCGGUGAAAUGCGUAGAUAUUAGGCGGAACACCAGUGGCGAAGGCGGCCUGCUGGCCUUUUACUGACGCUGAGGCUCGAAAGCGUGGGUAGCGAACAGGAUUAGAUACCCUAGUAGUC